rnacentral:tRNA from 1 species
AUUUAAAUAAUUUAAUUUAAAAUAUUGAUUUGUGGAAUCAAAAAUAUAGUUAUAAAAUUAUUUUAAAUU